GACGUAGGGGGCCAGCGUUGUUCGGAAUUACUGGGUGUAAAGGGUUCGUAGGCGGUGCGGCAAGUUGGGAGUGAAAUCUCUGGGCUUAACCCAGAGGCUGCUUCCAAAACUGCUGUGCUUGAGUGUGGGAGAGGCGCGUGGAAUUGCAGGUGUAGCGGUGAAAUGCGCAGAUAUCAGGAGGAACACCGGUGGCGAAGGCGGAUCUCUGGGCCAUUACUGACGCUGAGGAGCGAAAGCGUGGGGAGCAAACAGG
rnacentral:rRNA from 1 species